CAUUAAUGACGCCUUGGAUCCAUUCAGGUGUUCCAGUAAGCCCUGACGCUGUGACAGUGAGCUAGCAGCAUGCAGAACACCAGGACCUGAAACUGAAGCUGCGAGAGAGUAGGUGGACGAAUGGACGGAGCUAAGUAUGGAUUGUCGCCCAGUAAAGGUCCAUGUGCUACACUCACAUCUUGGCCCAUCCAUUGGGUUGCAUUAGCCAUGUGGGAGAUACAGAGGUUUAGCAACCUGUUGGCACACGACAUGACACAGAUUACAAAAAAGGGGCCUCCUUUGCUACAAGUAUGUCUUCCAUUAAGACAUUUCUUGAUUGGAUCAUUUUAAAACUCAUGCAGCUUAUGUUAACUCAAUGCAUAAAUCGACUGUGUAGAACAGUAAAAGUCGCAUUACAAAGUUGUCAACACUAAAGAGUUAUAACUCCUUAAUUUGUGCCAAUUUGACAGAGAAGGCCAUCAUUGCGUUUUUUAUUGAUACAAUUUCAU